rnacentral:lncRNA from 1 species
GUUCAUCUCUACAUUUGACUCCAUGGUCCUGUACUGGUGAAUGUGGCACCACUGGAGCGGUACUGCAGGAACCAUUGCUUUCCCAGAGCAGAUCACAAAAAGGUUCUUCUGAAGCAGUUUUUUAUGAAGGAGCAUUUGUAUGGACACCCGUGUUUUAGAUAAGAAACUGUGUGGUGAACACCACUGGAUAGUUAACACGAAAAUGAUUCAUUCCCACAGCACUGGCAAGUGCAGAGAUUUCCAAGCCCAGGCCCAAGCACGGAGGUUUUUUAAGCCUUAUUGAAGAGAGUGGGAAGUCUGUUAGAGUAAAAGGAAAGGCUCAUUCACCAAAUCUGGAUUGAGAAGGUCAGUAUGUAACUGUAGUAUUAGGGACUUCCUCCCAGACUCAUGGUAAGAGAAGUUAUUGCUUCAACAUUUCUGAUAUUCGGGAGUGUUCCCCUAGAGCUACUUCAGAGUGUUUAUGAUAAAACUAAUACUAGAAUUAUGCUGACAUAUUGGAGGAGCAAGUGGUGAAUAUUAGGUAUGCAGCUAUGAAAUUUUAGAAUUGCUGCAUUGUACACUGUAUGGCAAUAUUGCAUGACAAUAUGAUAACAUUAUAUUGUAUAGCAGUUGUUAUAUAUAUUUUGCUAUGUCAUUUUACUACAUUGACACAAGAUCUGUGUAGAGGUUAUAAUACCUAUUUUAUCCUUGGAUUUUCAUCCUCUUUUUUGUAUCACAUAUUGUGCAAACCCUGCUUCUCCCUGUUGUCAUUUAUACUUGAUAUUAAAUAUAAUCCUGACUUCACUGAAAAUAAGAUUUUUUUUUUUUGCUCAACU